rnacentral:rRNA from 1 species
CCCUUAUAUGUUCUGGGCCGCACGCGCGCUACACUGUUCGACGCAGCGAGUCUUAACCUUGACCGAAAGGUUUGGGUAAUCUUCAGCAAAGUCGAACGUGAUGGGGAUCGAUCAUUGCAAUUAUUGAUCGUGAACGAGGAAUUCCUAGUAAGUGCAAGUCAUCAGCUUGCGCUGAUUACGUCCCUGCCCUUUGUACACACCGCCCGUCGCUACUACCGAUUGAAUGGUUUAGUGAGAUCUCUGGAUUGACGCUGGCUAGGGGGCGACCCUUGGCCAGACUGUUGAGAAACUGCUCAAACUUGAUCAUUUAGAGGAAGUAAAAGUCGUAACA